UGAGGAAUAUUGCGCAAUGGGCGAAAGCCUGACGCAGCGACGCCGCGUGGAGGAUGAAGGUCUUCGGAUUGUAAACUUCUGUUAAGUGGGAAGAAAUACCGAUCGCUAAUAUCGAUCGGGGAUGACGGUACCAUUAGAGAAAGCACCGGCAAAUUUCGUGCCAGCAGCCGCGGUAAGACGAGAGGUGCAAGCGUUAUUCGGAAUGACUGGGCGUAAAGGGUGUGUAGGCGGUAUGUUAAGUCUGUUGUUAAAUCUCUCAGCCUAACUGAGAAUAUGCAAUGGAUACUGAUAUGCUAGAGGAUGGAAGAGAGAAGUGGAAUUCUCGGAGUAGCGGUAAAAUGCGUAGAUCUCGAGAGGAACACCAAUGGCGAAGGCAGCUUCUUGGUCCAUUCCUGACGCUGAGACACGAAAGCGUGGGGAGCAAACAGG
rnacentral:rRNA from 1 species